UCUCCCCAGCAGCUGGGAAUCUGGAGGCAUGACUCAUAAUGGGGCCAAAGCUAGCCAAAACUUUUAUGAAAUUCCUUCUUUUUAUCUUAAAAAUUCAUACAGAUUUGUACCCUUUUAAAUAUGUGGGCUUCCCCCUCCCCUUUUCUUAAAAUAAGUUUCCACUCUCAGUCUCUAUCUGAGUGGACACUCCAGGAAGACAUGGUGCCUCCACUGGCUGUGUGUAUCUGUUGCCUGCACCGUGGACCCCAUGCCCUGGGCCUCUGGUUUGGUUUGCGAAAGUGCAGGGACAGAGUUGAGGUAAAGGCCCUGCCUGUUUUCGGUCUAGGGCCCUCCCCACCUCUGCUCCACGCUCCUGCCUCUUGCUUUGGCUCUCCCAUCUCCUCUCACAGAGGUUUGUCCAUCCCAGUCCAACUCUCCCACUGGGUGUUCUCAGAAUGUCUCACCCCCCUCUUCAUGCCCUGAGGGUCCUUGUCCGGAGGGACACUACCCGUCUUCAGCCCUCUCUGCUGGCCAGUCUGACCCUUCACCUCCCCAGAGGAGUACUCGACUUGGGGAAGUUCCAUGCCCAUUUGGAAGAAACGGAGGUGCAGAGCUGAGAGAUGCUGGACCUCCAGGGUGCACAAUGAGAAGGGCUGUUGGAUGCCCACCGGGAUCUCUGGGCAGCCAUGAAAUGCUCUACUCUCUUCUCUUUUCCUUGCUGUCCCCGGGGCUGGAGGAGCACAGGCCUCCCAGUCAUGGGGCCUUGGCCUUGUUGGACUCCCAUCUCCUUCCAAAGGUUGAGCCUGGGGGGCCCAGAAGUGAGAGUUUCAAAUGCCGUACAGGACUUCCCUGGUGGCGCAGUGGUUGAGAAUCAGCCUGUCAAUGCGGGGGACAUGGGUUCGAGCCCUGGUCCGGGAAGAUCCCCCAUGCCGCGGAGCAGCUAAGCCCGUGCGCCACAACUACUGAGCCUGCGAGCCACAACUACUGAAACCCGUGCGCCUAGAGCCCGUGCUCGGCAACAGGAGAAGCCACCGCCAUGAGAAGCCCGUGCACCGGAACGAAGAGUAGCCCCUGCUCGCCGAAACUAGAGAAAGCCUGAGUGCAGCAAUGAAGACCCAGUGCAGCCAAAAAUAAAUAAAUAAAAUUUUAAAAAUGCAGUACACAAAACUAAUACAGUAUUAUAUGCCAUUUAUACCUCAAUUUUUAAAAAUAUGUCUCCUUUGACAUUAAAAGAGGUGAGUCAAAAAUUUCUGUGACCCGCCUCAGCCAAAUAAAUGAAUAAAUAAUUUUAAAAAUUCUGUGUAUACUUCAAUAAAAAAAUUAAAAUUUUAAAAUUAAAAAAGUUUCCUGCACCUACAUUAGAGCAUCUAAAUAAUUAUCUGGUCUCUUUCCCAAUGAGUUAAGAUCGAAAGCUAUGCCAUUUUCUUUUUUUUUUCCUCUGUGUAUUUGUGCUUUUUUUGAAUUUUAUUUAUUUAUUUUUUAUACAGCACGUUCUUAUUAGUUAUCUAUUUUACACAUAUUGGUGUAUAUAUGUCAAUCCCAAUCUCCCAAUUCAUCCGCCAUUCUCCAUAUUACUUAUAAUUGAAGAAUUUUUUAUUUCUAUUUUAGGUAACUUCUGAUCCUAUUCAUUAGUGUCUACAGGGAGGUGCACAAGGUUUUUGACUCAGCCUGCAUUUGGUUGUGGUGAUUUUCUUUUCACUAUCACUCUCUUAAUAGUCAAAAUUAGACUUGGAAAAUUAAAUAUAGAGAAAGAAUUUAUAGCAUUUUACUUUCUUUCCCUUUGAACAUUUACUUCUGCAGAAGUAGGACUUUCUCCUACAUAGUUUUCAUUUAAGGCGGAAAAAUAUAUUUUGUUCUUUACUGUUGCAGGAUGUUUUCUAGAAGCAAGCAAACGUGAAAGCAUGAGAACUGCCACCUGGAGCCAGCACUACAGUCCAUCCAGCCCAGCAAAUGACCUUUAAGUCAAAUCUUCCCCCAACUAUUCCAGUGGACACUCCCCUCUAGUGUCCCUGGAAAAAAAAAAAAAAAACACAAAACCACUGCUCUUUGACCCAGUAUUUCAACUUUGGGGAAUUUAUCCUAGACAUACACUUGCAUAUGUGUAAGUUAACAAAUUUUAUCUAUUGCAGUAUUAUUUGUAAUAGCAAAAGACUGGAAACAACCUGAAUGUCCAUCAGUAAGAGACUGGUUAAAUAACUUUUUAAACAAUGGAAUACUAUACAGCAAUGAAAACAGACCGUGACUACAUGCAACAACAUAGUGAGAAAGAAGAAGUGGGAUACAAAAGAACAUUUACACUAUGAUUCUCUUUGUAUAAAGAUUAAAAUCUGUUAAGGUAAAAACUAAACUAUAUUGUUAGAGGUGUUUACAUAAGUUGGAAAACUAUAAAGAAAAUGAGGACAUAAUUACUGAAAAAGUUAAGAUAGUGUUACUUCUAGAGAGAGGGAAGGGAUUUGGGGGAUACUUCUGUAGUGCUGGCAACGUUUUAUUUUUUGACCUGGUUGGUGGUUACAUAAGUGUUCACUUUAUAAUUAUUUUUUAAACUGUACAUAAGUGGUUCAUGCAGUCUUUUGUAUGAAUGAGGUCUCUCAUGAUGUUAAACUAUCACAGUCCAUCCAAACAGUGGAAUACUAUAUAGUCAUUAAAAAGAACAAAACAGCUCUAUAUGCAUGGACAUGGGAUGGAUUUAGGGGGAAAAAACAACCAAAGUGAAGUGCAAUGUGUUUAGUAUGCUACUUUCUGGGUGAAAUUUAAAAAAGACUAUGUCUGCCUCUAUGUCUUUGUCUGCUUAGACUAUCUCUAGAAAAAUACCCAAGAAUCAGGUAACAGGGAACUGGACAGUUGUUUCCCUUUUUGUACCUUAUGGAUUUCAUACCAUGUGUAUAUAUUACCUAUUCAAAAAAUAAAGUAAUUUAAAAAACUG